AGUCAUAUGCUUGUCUCAAAGAUUAAGCCAUGCAUGUCUCAGUACAAGCCUAAUUAAGGUGAAACCGCGAAAGGCUCAUUAAAUCAGUUAUGGUUCCUUAGAUCGUACCCACAUUUACUUGGAUAACUGUGGUAAUUCUAGAGCUAAUACAUGCAAACAGAGCUCCGACCGGAGACGGAAGGAGCGCUUUUAUUAGAUCAAAACCAAUCGGCGGCGGGCUCGCUCGUCGUCGUACACCUUGGUGAAUCUGAAUAACUUUCUGCUGAUCGCAUGGUCUCGCACCGGCGACGCAUCUUUCAAAUGUCUGCCUUAUCAACUGUCGAUGGUAGGUUCUGCGCCUACCAUGGUUGUAACGGGUAACGGGGAAUCAGGGUUCGAUUCCGGAGAGGGAGCCUGAGAAACGGCUACCACAUCCAAGGAAGGCAGCAGGCGCGCAAAUUACCCACUCCCGGCACGGGGAGGUAGUGACGAAAAAUAACGAUACGGGACUCAUCCGAGGCCCCGUAAUCGGAAUGAGUACACUCUAAACCCUUUAACGAGGAUCAAUUGGAGGGCAAGUCUGGUGCCAGCAGCCGCGGUAAUUCC
rnacentral:rRNA from 1 species